rnacentral:rRNA from 1 species
CUGCUGCCUCCCGUAGGAGUCUGGGCCGUGUCUCAGUCCCAAUGUGGCCGUCCACCCUCUCAGGCCGGCUACUGAUCGUCGGCUUGGUGGGCCAUUACCCCACCAACUACCUAAUCAGACGCGGGUCCAUCUUACACCACCUCAGUUUUUACCACUGUACCAUGCAGUACUGUGGUCUUAUGCGGUAUUAGCAGUCAUUUCUAACUGUUAUCCCCCUGUGUAAGGCAGGUUACCCACGCGUUACUCACCCGUCCGCCG